UACUUAAAGGAAUAGUUCUCUCAAAAAAGAAAAUUUGCUGAAUAUGUACUUAGACUCAUGCCAUCCAAGAUGUACAUUAGAUGAGUUUAUUUCAUCCAAACAGAUUUGGUGAAAUUUAGCAUUACAUCACUUGCUCACCAAUGGAUGCUCUGCAGUGAAUGGGUGCCGUCAGAAAAAAACAACCUAUUUCCAGCAGGAUGUGGUGAUUUCAUCCUUUGAAGCUCAUAUUAAGUUGUCAGGACUGCUGGAGGAUGGAGUUUGGUGAAAUAAGGCUCUUGUUCUCCUCUUCAGGAGGCUGCUGGAGCGUGUGAAGACAGAGGCCAGCAGCAGCAGACAGGAAGCCCUGAGACUCCGGCAGGAGAAACAGCAGAUCCAGGAAGAGCUGGUCGUCAACAGAGAGACCCUCUCAGCCCUGCAGACUAAAGCCGGGUGUGUGAGGGGCGACUGGCGGAGCUGCACACCCAGCAGCAGAUGACAGCCCUGCAGGCCAAAGACGAGGAAGUGCUCAUGCUAAAGCGAGCUUGUCGUGACCAACGUGAACCAGUGGAUGAAGGAGCAAAGUGAAGAAAGAGGCAGAGGAAGAAGAAAGCACUUCCUGACCACCUGCAGUGCAAGUCUGUGCCAGUCAGCGCCUGUGUCUGGAUCGAAGUCAAUGACUACAGAACGGUUUUCUGCAAACCAGCUGUCUCUUGGAUCACUGACACGAAGAGUUCUAGAAAAACAUGAUUAUCAAAUGAUGGCUGAUAAUUGACCUUACUACAGAUAAAUGACUGACAGCCCAAAUAACAAAUCAAAUCAAUUCUCAGACUUUUGUCUGUCAAACUGACUGAAUUGUAGAUUGUAUGAACAACUAAACUUCUGAAUGACUGUCCAAAAGCGAAACAUCUCUAUGUUUGCUCAAAGGAAUAGUAGAAUAUAGAUUUUCAAGGUUAAAGGCAGGUGCACAGACCCCAAGUAGAUCAUGCAUGUGAAUUUUGAUCUUUCUGUUGUUAAUGCCAUGCUAUACUGUCUGAGCUUCAGAAAAGCACAUAAAAAAAUCUAUCUUUAAAAUUUUGAAAAAAAAAUAUUUAAAACAGUGUUUAUAAUAUUCACAUUUUGUAAAAAGCAGAUGUUUUAAAAAUAUGUUAUGAGUUUUUUUUGUUGUUGUUGUUUUGUUUUGUUUUAUCAUAUGUUCUCAUGUUUACUUUUUUGUAAUGUGUGAAAAGUAUUAAUGUUAAAGGUUUACUAUUUAUCCCUGAUUUUUUCUCAGAGUGUGAUUUUGGGUUAAUUGUAUUGAUUUAAUUUAGGAUCAAUUGACUCAGAACGUAAUUAUAUCCAGAAUUUUAACAUUAUACAAGUGAUAAAUAGCACUUGUUGUUCUUAAGGACAUUUACAUUCAUAGAAAAACACACACAAAAUGCAUUUGUCCUGUUUGCAUCUGCAGAAAGCGUCCAUUACAUAAUUUUCCUGUUUAUUAAUGUCAAUAUUUAUGACAACAACUGUCUGACUUCUUUACACUUGGCUAGAUUUUCCCUGGUAAUGUCACUAUUUUCUCAUCUUCUACCAUUAUAUUUAGUAUUUCGGCAUAAUAACCUGGAACAAAACCCUGUGCUUUCUGUUUUUUCUGCACAAUGAUUUGAGGUAUUUUAUUCCAAAGUCAUCAGGUACAUCAUUCGCACGUACAUCACCUGUUUGAGAAGCAGCGGCAGUGAUUAAGUUAUUGCUGUCGUAAGGUCAGUUGGGUCACUAUACCUUGUUGAUACAGCUUAAACCAGUCUAAGAUGGGUUGCUGGUUUAAGCUGAUUUAUGAUUACCUCUCAGCCUGACCAAGCUGGUCUUCAACUGGUCUCUUCCAGCCUGACCAGCCAAAAAAUAGCUAAAACCAAACUAGGAGACCAGUUAAGACUUUCUUGGUCAAGCAGCUUCACCGGCACUAGAGCAACAAAGAGCAUAAACAAACCUGAACCAGCAUGAGAAUUCAUGACUAAACUGAACUGUUUAUCCGGAUACUCGUCUUAGAAAUGAUGAGAUCUCAUCUGUUGAUGAGACCUGAUUAUUUUCUGAAUAGCUCUGCACUAAGUAUCUGAUGCCCCUCGUGUUCAUUUAUAUACAGACAUCAGCUGCUGAUUUAUUUUUCUCUUUCAAAUUAAAUUUGCUGACAUGCAGUACUUCAUAUUUAAUGAACAUUCCGCUGUGAAUUUUGUGCCUAGUUACAUUUCAAGUUUACGGAGAUGAAUGAGAGUGUGAAUUCUAAUGGCAGGUAAAGUUUCAAUUCUGCUUCUGUCAUAGAUUGUGGUUUAGAAAAGUUAAAGGUAAGGCUUGUAUUUGUUUAUGAAUCAAUCAUAUAAUAAUGCCUCAUAUGACUGAUAGCCUAAUAUAAAACAUUUUAAUGGAUUUUACAUUGAAGGCAAUAUAAGUGACGUGUCAUAUCAGUCAGCCAGCAACAUUAAUAGCACUUUUAAAUUAUUAAAUAAUGCUGUGCCUUAUUCACUGUCAUCAUGCAUUUCCUAUAAACACAAAUCAGUCAAUAAAAGUGAUAUAUGUUUGUAUUUGGCA
ensembl:lncRNA